rnacentral:misc_RNA from 1 species
AAGAUUGAGUUGAAAAUUUUUGAGGAAUCUAUUCUAGAGAAAGAAGCCGCUAAGAAUGAGCCCAACAAGUUUUAAGGAAUUUAUCCUAGGAACAAAAGAGCCAUGGAGAAGGCAAUGAAAAUUGAACAUUUAACUAAUUCUCUUGUUCAUGGUUAAUUGAAGAGCCUUUCAAGUGUAGCUGUAACUGAUUUCAUAUGUUCUGAUAUUUCUGGGGAUGUGAAAGAAAGAAUGAGGUUCAUUGUUUCACUACUAUAACUACCAACCAAGAAGGAAGAGUUACUUGUACUCCAAAUUCAAUUCUUGAUUCUUAAACACUACAAAUCUAAAUAAGGUAGUAUUGUAGCAAAG